UACAGAGGUCUCAAGCGUUGCUCGGAAUCACUGGGCGUAAAGGGUGCGUAGGCGGGUCUUUAAGUCAGGGGUGAAAUCCUGGAGCUCAACUCCAGAACUGCCUUUGAUACUGAAGAUCUUGAGUCCGGGAGAGGUGAGUGGAACUGCGAGUGUAGAGGUGAAAUUCGUAGAUAUUCGCAAGAACACCAGUGGCGAAGGCGGCUCACUGGCCCGGUACUGACGCUGAGGCACGAAAGCGUGGGGAGCAAACAGG
rnacentral:rRNA from 1 species